rnacentral:tRNA from 1 species
GGGGUUGGGCCAUGGCUCAAUGGUGCAGCAUCUGCUUUGUAUGCAGAGGUCCCAAGUUCAAUCCUCAGUAUUUCCA